UUCCCCAUUGCUCCAAGAGAAGUUGUGUAACGCUGGCCCAGGAAGAGAAGAAGAAAAAUGAUAAUUCUUCGAGAAGAUAUCUCAACUCAUUAAAGAUUCAUUAAAUGAUUCAUAUGACAUCUAAAUCUAACAUGCAUUUUUAAAACAAUAGAUAUCUGCAAUGACCAAAAAAGGAACUAUCAGGAAGGUGAGUUUAGUGAACUGACAUCAAGAAAUUCAUGCAUAUUUCCUUUAAACAAGUUUGGGGAGUGUGUAUACAGUAGCACUACACAACUAUGAAUUAUAAAAAACAGAGAUGACCACCAUCAUGAGCAAUUCUUGGCAAAGGGAAGAUCCGUGUCUCAGGACUCAGUGAAAUAUAAUUCAUUUUUCAGCCUAAAGAUAUACAGAUAAAAAAAUGAUUGGAUCUGUCUAUCAAAGGUCACAAAAAAUAGCAAUCGAGCUCAAUAUGUUAUUUAGAAAAAAAAUUGGUAGACCAUGUACACAACAUGGCAAUUAACAUUAAGCACAAUGGAAUAAUCCUCUACUGGUUACUCUCAAUCUAAAAUCAACAGUUAAAUUACUAUUUAUCACCAUCAAGCCAGCAUAUGCGGUUCAUAUAUAAACUAAAUCAAGCUAGCAUACACACUUCAUCUCCAAAUAGGAUUCAUCUCCUGCGGUCUGGUUACCCAAAUCCAACCAAAGAUCCUCACAGAAGAGGAGGGGGAGGGGGUAGAGGAGGAAGACGAGCUUACUUGCGAGUAGAAGCCAGAGCGCAGGGGCAGGGAGUAUAUGGACCAAUAACAAUAAGUGGCCAGUAAGAUG
rnacentral:lncRNA from 1 species